AAUACAUUACUUUUUUAAUUUUUUUUUCGUGUUGUUUAGAAAAGUACAGUGGGUUAACCAACCCUUUUAUUGACACUAUGAACGCUAUACUUAAAAAUUCCUCAAAAAAAAAAACAUUUAACAUCCAACUUCAAUCAUUGCGAACUGCGGAAAUUCAUUGUCACGAAAUUGAGGACAUUUCAAAAAGUUUGUUAAACGAUCUUUAUGAUAUUAUUCUUUUUAAAAUAACUUCGGAUAAAACAUUACAAAAGAAAAUUAUUGAGUCAGAACCAUAUCCUCUUUGUCAUUUAUUUGGUUACCAAGACUACGAUUAUAAUUUACAUAGAUGUAUGCCAUAACUAAUGUUACAUUCAAACGCAUGAAACACUGAUGUACUUAAACAAAGUUACUAAUUCUUUUUUCAAUUAUUUUGCUUCAUCAUUAAAAAAUUUAUUAAUGGAGAAUCCUCAAAAAAUAGAUUUUUACGACACCUUUUUCUAUUCUUCGCAUUUUGAGAGGUUGAAAUCGAAUUAAUUUCAUCUUGGAAUACCUUACACCAGUCUUUAAAUCGAUAUAUUGCUAUGAUUGUAAAAAUUUCUUAGCUUCUUCUGCCUAAGAAUAUUUAUAAAGUAACAUGUUGAAACUCGGAAAUUAAAUAAAUCUUUGAUACGUACCGAACGAUCAUUUAAAGAAAAAAAUUUACCAAUUUGUUCCUGAAAUUCAUUUUUGUUGUUUUCGCGUUGGCGCUGUGCCCAUAAAAAAGCAUCGGCAAGAGCAGCGCACUGAGUUAAAUUAUGAUCCUGUAAUUCCUUUUUACCUUCUUUUAGCAUCAUGAACGCCUGUAAAAAAGUUGAGGAAAAGUAAUACUUUUGUCUAAGUAAAACCUUUUCGAUUUCUAUAUCAGACGACGUUUUGGGAAUUAUAAUGAUAGGUUCAUCUUUUUUUGAUGGAUAUGCCUUGUAUACAUGCCAAAAUGCAUUCAAUUAAGGUGAUGCAACUUUACCAGAGUGUAAGCAACUCGUAAUAUUUUGGCCGUUCGAGAAAUAACUGAAUUAAAAGGCACACAUUAUUACAGUAUUAUUGGAGAUUGGAGUGCUACCUGAAGCAAGCUGCAAAAAACAAUUCUAGUUUUAAUCACGAAGAGCCCAUUACCUGAAGUUUUCGUCGUUGAAUAUGCAAUGUUAUGUCCCGCCGUUGUUCUGCAUCGUUCAAAAAAACUUACUGUUGUAAAGAGACAAGUUCAUUUUCCAAAACUUGACAAAUUCAUUUUAUUAGUACAGUUAUAUGUGAAAACUAAGUUUUAAACAUACGUCGAGUUGUCUGAGACACACUAAAAAUAUCAUACAAACAUAAAACAAAGAAACUGCUUUUUUUUUU